UAUAAAAUUUAUAUUUUGAAAUGCUUACAGAUUAACAACAAAAAAGCAAACAAACCAAUAAGAAUGGACAAGACCUUUUAAUGAACACACAGUAAACACAUAAAAAGGUGCUCAACAUCAAUUUGCCAUCAGGAAAAUUCAAACUAAAACCACAGUGAUGUAUAGUUUACUAGAAUGUAUAAAAUAUAAAAAUUGACAAUACCAAAUGUUGACAUGGAUGUGUAGUAACUAGAACUCUCAUACAUUCCAAGUAGGAGCAUAAAAUGGCAAAACCACCCUAACAAACUGCAUGGCAGCUUCUUUUAAAGUUAAACAUGUACAUAACCUAUGAUGUUAUUUCAUUUGUGUGUGUUUAGCCAAGGGAAAUCAAAGUAGAUUUGUAUGAAAAUGUUCAUAGUAGGUUUAUACAUCUACGUAAGCCAAAAACUGGAAGCAACCUAUAUGUCCAUUAACAGAACUGAUAUUUGUAGAGUUUAAUACUACUUAGUGAUAAGAAAUACAACUAAUCACACACGAAACAAUAUUAAAAAUAUCUGAAGAUUAUUUAAUAAAAGACAAGAGACACAAAAGGAUAUAUACUACAUGAUUCUACUUGCAUAAGUACAUGAACUUUUUUUCUGAUGGAAAGCUCAGGAAAAUCUUUUGUGGCAGUGCUGAAAAGGUUUUAUGUCUUGCUUUGAGUGGUGGUUACAUGAUAUUACACUUGUUGCUUGGGUGAUGUCAGAACUCUUGGAACCACACAUUUAGGAUCUGUGUGUUCUGUUACACACAAAUUUUACCUCAAUAAAGUAUUUAAUUAAAAUAGCACUGUUUCAGUCUGCUCAGAUGGCCAUAACAAAACACCAUAAACUGGGUGGCUUAAAAAACAAAUGUAUUUUCUCACAGUUCCGAAGACUGAAAGUUCAAGAUCAAGAUGCCAACAGGCUUGGUGUCUGGGGAAGGCUCCCUGCUUGAACUUCAGACGUCUGUCUCCUCUCUGUUGGUUCACGUGGACUUUCCUCUGUUCCUGUGCCAUUCAUAAAUUUCCCAAGAGAUGUUUUUUUUUCUUCUGAUAGCCAACAAGGAGCAAAGGCCACUUCUAUACCUAGGAUGU
rnacentral:lncRNA from 10 species